UACAAUAUAGGCCGGGUUCAACGAAAUGGCCUGAAAAUCGUUAAGUAAAAAGUUAAGUAAAUGACAUAGUAAACAUGUAAAAGUCCACCAUAUUGUGAAUCAGUGUCUAUUUAGGCUCUGCCGGCUAUAUUAUAUAUAUAAAAUAUAAAAAAUUAUUAGAUUACUCGCUCUCGAUUUCUAUGAGGUGAUACGCCCUCGUCAACUAUAUCACAUCAUAGAAAUAUCGAGCGAUUAAUCUCAUGGGCACCCUGUUAAAGGGGGCCCCAAAGGUGUAAUUUAAACAAUUUAUUUGGAACGUUUUCUACAUAAGUAAUGGUAUGAGAGGAUCUUUUAAACCUUCAUUUUACUGUUAUUGGUCCGAAAAAAUGUGUUCUAGCCAUGAUUUUGCAACUAUUUGUCACAAAAAGUUUUUGAACCUUUUUAUGGAUAUGUCCGGGAAAAAGUUUUUUCCUUCUUCUGCCCCCCCCCCCCCAACCUGCCACGAGGGCCCCCGAAAUUCUCUGUGCGGCCCUGAGUAAUCUAAUUGUUAAAUGGGUUUUUAUUCAAUACUCAAUAGUUGAUAUAUUUGUGCAUGCCAGCCGCCAUACAUAGAACAACUACUUCAUUUGAAUUAUUUCAAUGUAUUAAAGACUAGAUAUACAAGAUAAUUUUUUCUAUACCGUUUCUAUGCCAUUCACAAUAGUCAAUACAUAUAUAUAAUAUAAUAUAAUCGUAUAUUAUCCUUGAUAUAAUGUAUUUGCUUCUGCGGAUUUUCAUUUUUUGUCAACGUUUAAAGUUUCUAAAGCCCUUCGUAAUAGUUCGUAUAAAUUAACUUGGAAACAUUUUGCGGAAUCGAACGAUAGUUGUAAUUAGACUUUCCAAAGUCCGCGGUUCGUGGUUCGCGGUCCCUAGCGAGCGACUUGGGCAAGUCUAACAUGCAGGCCCGGAGCUACGGGGGGGUGUGGGGGGGUGUGACACCCCCCCAGUAAUUGUAUUCAGUCGGCAGGACUGCUAUUCAGUCGGUAGGACUGCUAUUCAGUCGGUAGAAGCUAUUUGGGUUAAAUAUUUUUGGCGCAAAGGGCAAUAACGUGGUGGGAAAUUUAGGAAAAUUUUGAGGAAAAAUGUAAAAAAUUUUCGAAAAAUUUUAAAAAAUGUUGAAAAUUUGCUGUGUGGAAAAUUUUUGAAUGUUCGGGAAAAUUUUUGUACGUCCGGAA